UACAGAGGUCUCAAGCGUUGUUCGGAUUCAUUGGGCGUAAAGGGUGCGUAGGUGGCGCGGUAAGUCGGGUGUGAAAUCUCGGAGCUUAACUCCGAAAUUGCAUUCGAUACUGCCGUGCUUGAGGACUGGAGAGGAGACUGGAAUUCAUGGUGUAGCAGUGAAAUGCGUAGAGAUCAUGAGGAAGACCAGUGGCGAAGGCGGGUCUCUGGACAGUUCCUGACACUGAGGCACGAAGGCCAGGGGAGCAAAUGGG
rnacentral:rRNA from 1 species